rnacentral:rRNA from 1 species
UAAGGAAUAUUGGUCAAUGGACGCAAGUCUGAACCAGCCAUGCCGCGUGAAGGAUGAAGGUCCUCUGGAUUGUAAACUUCUUUUAUCUGGGACGAAAACGGGAUUUUUAUCUCAAUUGACGGUACCAGAGGAAUAAGCACCGGCUAACUCCGUGCCAGCAGCCGCGGUAAUACGGAGGGUGCGAGCGUUAUCCGGAUUUACUGGGUUUAAAGGGUGCGUAGGUGGGCUUAUAAGUCAGUGGUGAAAUCUCCGAGCUUAACUUGGAAACUGCCGUUGAUACUAUAGGUCAUGAACUAUCUGGAGGUAAGCGGAAUAUGUCAUGUAGCGGUGAAAUGCUUAGAUAUGACAUAGAACACCAAUUGCGAAGGCAGCUUACUACAUAUAAAUUGACGCUGAGGCACGAAAGCGUGGGGAUCAAACA